GGGGUGUUCCAGUUUUUGGAUGAACUAGAGCAAACCAAGGAGGAAUCAUAUGAGACCUUGCAAUCUGAGUGGUGUAUCUUCCCUGUCCAAUAGAUCCAGCCAGCAAACUUGUAGUCAUUCCCUUGAGGGCACAUAUGCUCACCAAAUACUUAGCCCAAUUCAUGCCAAUUUGAGAAAAAGCAACAGAAUAUGCAGCAUCUGGAUCAAUUUCAGUAUAUUUCACCAUCA
rnacentral:misc_RNA from 1 species